GGGCUCACUUUGGCAGCACACAUACCGAAAUUGGAAAGAUGCAGAGAUUAGCAUGGCCCCUGCGCAAGGGUGACAUGCUAAAGCAAGGCUGUCGCAUUGAAUUU
ensembl:snRNA U6 U6 spliceosomal RNA